GGUCAUAAAGCAAGGAGACGCUUACGAAUCGUGUCAGGUCUGGAAGGAAGCAGCACUAAGUUUGAUGUUUCUUGUGCUUUAUGUUAGAU
rnacentral:SRP_RNA from 2 species